rnacentral:rRNA from 1 species
CCCUUAGAUGUUCUGGGCCGCACGCGCGCUACACUGAUGCAUUCAACGAGCCUAUCCUUGACCGACAGGUCCGGGUAAUCUUUGAAUCUGCAUCGUGACGGGGAUAGAUUAUUGCAAUUAUUAAUCUUCAACGAGGAAUGCCUAGUAGGCGCAAGUCAUCAGCUUGCGUCGAUUACGUCCCUGCCCUUUGUACACACCGCCCGUCGCUCCUACCGAUUGAUUGAUCCGGUGAAUUACAUAGAAUUUUGCGUUUUACAUGACGGAAGAUGAAGUGUUUUAAACCUUAUCAUUUAGAGGAAGGAGAAGUCGUAACA